UGCAAGUCGAGCGGAUCUAGUUUGACUUGAGUGGCCGCAAGGCUGCAAGAGUUGAGUUAGAUUAGCGGCAAACGGGUGAGUAACACGUGGGUAAUCUACCUUCGAGACCGGAAUAACACUUGGAAACGGGUGCUAAUGCCGGGUGAGACCACGGCAUCGCAUGAUGCUGUGAGAAUAGAUGGGGAACCGCAAGGUCCUGUCGCUUGAAGAUGAGCCCGCGUCCUAUCAGCUUGUUGGUGGGGUAAUGGCCUACCAAGGCGACGACGGGUAGCUGGUCUGAGAGGAUGGUCAGCCACACUGGGACUGAGACACUGCCCAGACUCCUACGGGAGGCUGCAGUCGAGGAUCUUUUGCAAUGGGCGAAAGCCUGACAAUGCGACGCCGCGUGAGGGAUGAAGGUUUUCGGAUCGUAAACCUCUGUCGAGGGGGAUGAUGGCUUUUUGGGUUAAUAACCCGAAAGAUUGACAGUACCCUUGAAGGAAGCCACGGCUAACUCCGUG
rnacentral:rRNA from 1 species